rnacentral:rRNA from 1 species
AUGAACGCUGGCGGCGUGCCUAAUACAUGCAAGUCGAGCGAACAGACGAGGGGCUUGCUCCUCUGACGUUAGCGGCGGACGGGUGAGUAACACGUGGAUAACCUACCUAUAAGACUGGGAUAACUUCGGGAAACCGGAGCUAAUACCGGAUAAUAUAUUGAACCGCAUGGUUCAAUAGUGAAAGACGGUUUUGCUGUCACUUAUAGAUGGAUCCGCGCCGCAUUAGCUAGUUGGUAAGGUAACGGCUUACCAAGGCAACGAUGCGUAGCCGACCUGAGAGGGUGAUCGGCCACACUGGAACUGAGACACGGUCCAGACUCCUACGGGAGGCAGCAGUAGGGAAUCUUCCGCAAUGGGCGAAAGCCUGACGGAGCAACGCCGCGUGAGUGAUGAAGGUCUUCGGAUCGUAAAACUCUGUUAUUAGGAAAGAACAAAUGUGUAAGUAACUAUGCACGUCUUGACGGUACCUAAUCAGAAAGCCACGGCUAACUACGUG